rnacentral:rRNA from 1 species
AUUGAACGCUGGCGGAAUGCUUUACACAUGCAAGUCGAACGGCAGCACGGGGGCAACCCUGGUGGCGAGUGGCGAACGGGUGAGUAAUACAUCGGAACGUGCCCGGUCGUGGGGGAUAACGUAGCGAAAGUUACGCUAAUACCGCAUACGCUCUGAGGAUGAAAGCGGGGGACCUUCGGUCCUCGCGCGAUCGGAGCGGCCGAUGUCAGAUUAGGUAGUUGGUGGGGUAAAGGCCUACCAAGCCGACGAUCUGUAGCUGGUCUGAGAGGACGACCAGCCUCACUGGAACUGAGACACGGCCCAGGCUCCUACGGGAGGCAGCAGUGGGGAAUUUUGGACAGUGGGCGCAAGCCUGAUCCAGCCAUUCCGCGUGCAGGACGAAGGCCUUCGGGUUGUAAACUGCUUUUGUAUGGAACGAAAAGGCUCUGGCUAAUACCUGGGGCUCAUGACGGUACCGUAAGAAUAAGCACCGGCUAACUACGUG